AGUCAAUGUGGAGGCUAUAUACAGGGGGUACCAGUACAGAGUCAAUGUGGAGGCUAUAUACAGGGGGUACCGGUACAGAGUCAAUGUGGAGGCUAUAUACAGGGGGUACCGGUACCGAGUCAGUGUGGAGGCUAUAUACAGGGGGUACCAGUACAGAGUCAAUGUGGAGGCUAUAUACAGGGGGUACCAGUACAGAGUCAAUGUGGAGGCUAUAUACAGGGGGUACCAGUACAGAGUCAAUGUGGAGGCUAUAUACAGGGGGUACCAGUACAGAGUCAAUGUGGAGGCUAUAUACAGGGGGUACCGGUACAGAGUCAGUGUGCUGGGGUACAGGCUAGUUGAGGUAAUCUGUACAUGUAGGUAGGGGUGAAGUGACUAUGUAUAGAUAAUAAACAGUAAGGGGUAUAGGCUAGUUGAGGUAAUCUGUACAUGUAGGUAGGGGUGAAGUGACUAUGUAUAGAUAAUAAACAGUAAGGGGUAUAGGCUAGUUGAGGUAAUCUGUACAUGUAGGUAGGGGUGAAGUGACUAUGUAUAGAUAAUAAACAGUAAGGGGUACAGGUUAGUUGAGGUAAUCUGUACAUGUAGGUAGGGGUGAAGUGACUAUGUAUAGAUAAUAAACAGUAAGGGGUACAGGUUAGUUGAGGUAAUCUGUACAUGUAGGUAGGGGUAAAGUGACUAUGCACACCUGUCUGGCCAUUUGGCCUGAAUGCCAAGCGUCACGUCUGGAGGAAACCUGGCACCAUCCCUUCAGUGAAGCA
rnacentral:lncRNA from 1 species